GGGAUACUGGAGGUCCGCCCAGCGCUUCCUGCGGGUUUAGCAGCCCUUCAGAGUUAGCAAGGUGGAUUAUUUUGUGCGUUUACCGUCUUACGCGGACCCUCUGACUUGACAAACUGAGAACAGGGAAGGAACAGCUAAUUGGCCGGCCAUGAAGAACUGAGGAGGCCGACCUACACCUCAAGUCUCUAUGAUGUCUUUUCAAGACAUUUAAGAAGCAUCAGCUAUUUUUCAAGCAUUGGAGGUACAGAGAUGAGCAAGUGCUGGCCCUCAAGAAGAAUAUAAUAUCA